GCUACAGACGAGCAACAACACCCUGAUCAAAGAGAGAGACCAGCUUCAGAAAGAGAUAGAACUUCUGAAACAAUCUUUAGUUGAGAAAGUGUGUCCUCAAGGAUGGAAGAAGCUUGGUAGCAGUUGUUACUACGUCUCCACUGAGUACAAAUCCUGGAAGGAAAGCAGAGAGGACUGCAGAAAUAGAGGAGCAGACCUGGUGGUCAUCAAGAGCCAAGAACAACAGACAUUAGUCAAUUGGUUAUGUGGACGAAAUAACUAUGUCUGGAUUGGUCUGACUGACUCUGUUUCUGAGGGGACCUGGAAAUGGGUGGACGGCACACC